AACGGGUGGAGCUUGCGGUUUAAUUGGAUUCAACGCCGGAAAUCUUACCGGGACCGACAGCAAUAUGAAGGCCAGGCUGAAGACUUUGCCGGAUUAGCUGAGAGGUGGUGCAUGGCCGUCGUCAGUUCGUACUGUGAAGCAUCCUGUUAAGUCAGGCAACGAGCGAGACCCACGCCCACAGUUGCCAGCGUACUCUCCGGAGUGACGGGUACACUGUGGGGACCGCCGCUGCUAAAGCGGAGGAAGGAAUGGGCAACGGUAGGUCAGUAUGCCCCGAAUAUCCCGGGCUACACGCGAGCUACAAUGGUUGGUACAAUGGGUAUCUACCCCGAAAGGGGACGGAAAUCUCCUAAAACCAAUCUUAGUUCGGAUUGAGGGCUGCAACUCGCCCUCAUGAAGCUGGAAUCCGUAGUAAUCGCGUUUCAACAGAACGCGGUGAAUACGUCCCUGCUCCUU
rnacentral:rRNA from 1 species